UGAGGAAUUUUGCGCAAUGGGGGAAACCCUGACGCAGCAACGCCGCGUGAGUGAUGAAGGCCUUUUGGUUGUAAAGCUCUGUCGCCUGGAAAGAACCCACAUAGCAGGAAAUGGCUGUGUGCUGACGGUACCAGGAAAGGAAGGACCGGCUAACUCCGUGCCAGCAGCCGCGGUAAUACGGGGGGUCCAAGCGUUAUUCGGAAUCAUUGGGCGUAAAGCGCAUGUAGGCGGUUGGGUAUGUCAGAUGUGAAAGCCCGGGGCUUAACCCCGGAAGUGCAUUUGAAACUGCCUGGCUUGAGUCUCGGAGAGGAAAGUGGAAUUCCCAGUGUAGAGGUGGAAUUCGUAGAUAUUGGGAGGAACACCGGUGGCGAAAGCGACUUUCUGGACGAUGACUGACGCUCAGAUGCGAAAGCGUGGGUAGCAAACAGG
rnacentral:rRNA from 1 species